GAUGAACGCUGGCGGCGUGCCUAAUACAUGCAAGUCGAGCGAACAGACGAGGAGCUUGCUCCUCUGACGUUAGCGGCGGACGGGUGAGUAACACGUGGAUAACCUACCUAUAAGACUGGGAUAACUUCGGGAAACCGGAGCUAAUACCGGAUAAUAUAUUGAACCGCAUGGUUCAAUAGUGAAAGACGGUUUUGCUGUCACUUAUAGAUGGAUCCGCGCCGCAUUAGCUAGUUGGUAAGGUAACGGCUUACCAAGGCAACGAUGCGUAGCCGACCUGAGAGGGUGGUCGGCCACACUGGAACUGAGACACGGUCCAGACUCCUACGGGAGGCAGCAGUAGGGAAUCUUCCGCAAUGGGCGAAAGCCUGACGGAGCAACGCCGCGUGAGUGAUGAAGGUCUUCUGAUCGUAAAACUCUGUUAUUAGGGAAGAACAAAUGUGUAAGUAACUAUGCACGUCUUGACGGUACCUAAUCAGAAAGCCACGGCUAACUACGUG
rnacentral:rRNA from 1 species